AUUGAACGCUGGCGGCAUGCCUUACACAUGCAAGUCGAACGGUAACAGGUCUUCGGAUGCUGACGAGUGGCGAACGGGUGAGUAAUACAUCGGAACGUGCCCGAGAGUGGGGGAUAACGAAGCGAAAGCUUUGCUAAUACCGCAUACGAUCUCAGGAUGAAAGCAGGGGACCGCAAGGCCUUGCGCUCACGGAGCGGCCGAUGGCAGAUUAGGUAGUUGGUGGGAUAAAAGCUUACCAAGCCGACGAUCUGUAGCUGGUCUGAGAGGACGACCAGCCACACUGGGACUGAGACACGGUCCAGACUCCUACGGGAGGCAGCAGUGAGGAAUAUUGCGCAAUGGGGGAAACCCUGACCCAGCAACGCCGCGUGAGGGAAGAAGGUUUUCGGAUUGUAAACCUCUGUCUUGUGGGAAGAAGGAAGUGACGGUACCACAAGAGGAAGCCCCGGCUAACUACGUG
rnacentral:rRNA from 1 species